UAAAAAUUAGUUUAAUUAAAAUAUUAAUUUGUCAAAUUAGAGAAUUUGAAAUAAUUCAAAAUUUUUA
rnacentral:tRNA from 1 species